CGCAAUUCCCUCAGUCCCUUUGGAGGCUCAUAAAUAUCUCACCUUCUCCAACACGACUGAGCUGAGAAUGGACCAUUCCAAAGAGACACAGCCUAGAAGGAGCAAACACACAUGUUUCUUAAUGGGUUCACAGCCUUCACAGGAUUCCCACCCACUCAGCGUUCCAGGAAGCCUGUAGUCAUGGAAAUUACAUUCUUUUUAUUACCUUCAUGUCAAUAGAGGCUCCAGGAAACAAGAGCAUAUGGCCUCAGCGGGUCUCCCAUGUUGCUAAGGUCUUUAGCAGCUCUGGGCCCAUUGACCUCCCUGGGUUGCACAUUCCUGAUCUUUUCAGGUUUGGGGACAUGCCAUAGGCCUGGAUGUGCAAUUUCUGGGCACGAAGUAGCUAAGGAACAUUUCACCGGCACCUGAGCACCCAAUACAGCCGUCCCGAGGUGCAGAUCUCACAGCCUCAGAGUCGGGAGAGACCGAGGAGAGUUUGCAGUCCAACCCCAAGGACACGGAGGCCCAAGGAGGGGUGAGUGAAUCCCACCACCUGGAAGCCACAGGAGAGAGAAUUUUCUGCAGCUCCCACUGUCCCACCUCCUCACCCCACCUUGGCUGCACCCUCAACACAGGUCUCACCCUCAGGGCUCCCCGCGGGAGUGAGGGCUCGUUUCAGCCUCGCUGUGUCCUCCCCAGGAACACAAAGGACACAAGUGGCUCCUCAUCCUCCCCUGGCAGGUAAAGAGGGCUGGACCAGAGUGUAGAGUGGCCCUCCCCCCACAUCCCUGCCAGGCCCCUUCCCUGGAGAAGAGGCUCGACUGCCGGGCCCAACCCUGGGGGGGUUUAGACUCAGGAGGGCUGACGUCAACAUCAACAUCAACAUCCUGCAGUGGCCUUGCAAGCAGGGCACGUCCCACGACUGGCUUGGGCCUCCUGGCUCCAGCUGCAAAGCACAGAAGACAGGUUGAUGCUUGUGGCCUUGUGGCCAGGAGACGGAGAGCGCCCUCUUGUCUGCUCUGGGCCUGUCCAGGAUGACAGUCGCCUGGCACGUAGUGGGUACGUAAGAGAAGCUUGUGAAAUUGGAUAGAAUAAAACUGAAUUUCAUAUUCCCCAUUUCUAUUUCAUUUAUUUGGCACCUACUGUUCCCCUCAAACCAGGCCCUGCUGCUCACUUUCUCUGUGCAGGCCUUGUCAAUUCUAACUCUCAUCUCUUUGCUCAGGCUGUGCCUGCUGCCUAGAAUGCCUUUUCCUUCCCUCCAUGUAGGCAAACUGUACACCCAUUUCAAGGUUGUACCCACCUCCUCUGUGACACGCUAGUUUCUGGGGUUCUGGAGCUCUGUCCCAGGCACUUGGGGUCCAGACAUUGUCUUGUGCGGGCCGCUAUCUGCUUGUCAAAACACAUCUUCCCUCCUCAGUUGUGAGGGAAACACAUUGGUGGACAACUCUAGAAACAAAUGUUCCACAUCCCUCUGUUCUCCUGACUUGUCCCCAAGGUCCUGUGCACCAUAUCACCGGAAAGGCAUAAGGGCUGGCUUCAGACAGCCCUGGGUUCAAAUCCAGGCUAUGUUUCUUAUCAACUAUGUGGCCUCAGGCACUUGUCACGCCCUCUAUGAGCCUCAUCUGUAAAAUAAGGAUGGAAAGACCGCCUUGUAGAUUGUAGACACAAAGACGCACCUCCCAGAUCCCCCUUCAAGGACGCGUUCCUGCCCCAGAUCCGGGGGUGCAGUGGGCAGCCAGCUUCCAGAUGUUCAGGGUCUGGCUUAGCUGCAGAGAGCUGUCACUCUCCUC
ensembl:lncRNA